rnacentral:lncRNA from 1 species
CAAAUACAAAAAAAUAAUAAAAUAAAAUAAGAAAAACACAAGAACAGGAAAAUAGAAGCACUGGAGUCAACCUUUUUCUUAAAGCUUUUUGAUCUGCUUUUCAUUAACCAGUUGUAAAAGAAGAAGCCAAAUACAAAAAUGGUGUUUGGCUUUUAUAGCCGAUCUGUUUCUAUUUUUUCCUAUUAUUUUUGCUGCUUGCAUGUUCUCUUCUAUUUUGCAGGGUUGCUGGAGCAGGUGGGCAGAGGGUAGGUGCGGCACUGGACGUGACGGUGGCGUAGAAGUCCGAGGGUCAGAAGACCCUAAGUACGACGCCUAGGGUUCUUUUGUUUUCUGCUAGGAUUUUUUCUUGUUUUGGGUUUCGGGCUGAGGUAUUGGGUAGUUGGUCUUUGUUGUAAUGGGUUGUUUGGGUUGGUUAUUGGGUAGGUUUUUGAGUGUUUUAUUUGUAAUAGGCCCCGGGCAAAAUGGGCUUGUACAGGCAUCAUUUAUCAAGUUCAAAAUGUACUUUUUUGCACUUCGAAAAAUCUAGAUGGCGUUAGCCGUCAAGUAGUAAGUAUGGAA